AGUUCCUAGAAGCUUUAAUUGAAUGAAAGUUCCUAGUAGAUCUGUACCUACUAAAAACCACACUUCUGAAGCUACGUGGCCACCAGAAGACACAGCUAGUCUGCCAUGUAAAAAAGGAAAGGUGGCGUGUGCCCUGAAGGUGCAGGGGUGAGAGGCAGGGAAAUGGAGACCCCAACAGCCAGCAGCAGUGGCCCUCAUCACAGCCCUCCAGGAGAUAUCAAAGGAGACAACGCCAUUAUUGACGAGAUCACUCCCAAGCGGAUUGGAGAUUGUCCCAAUACUUAGACCUAUAGCAAGGCCUUGGGAGAAAUGGUGGUGCAGCAGGAGAGCAGGAACCUAACCAUUGCCAUCCUAAGGCCCUGCAUUGUGCAGAGCAACGUGGCACCAGCUUUUCCUGGGUUGGGUUGAUAAUCUAAAUGGAUGUAGCUGACUCAUUAUUGCGGUAUGUAUAGGGAUGAAGAAGUAACUGUAAUGUAGUGGAGGAAUAGUAAGAAAAUUCUUAGUGCUGGCUUAGCUUCAUUGAUCCAAAAACAUAAAUGCUACUUUACUAUC
rnacentral:lncRNA from 1 species